rnacentral:rRNA from 1 species
GCUGGUUAUUCAGGAAAAGGAUCUAAGUCCAAUUUUAACUCUUUAUAUAACACAAAAUACACUAACAGAUUUAAAAUUCAUUCAAAUAAGGUACAGCCUAUUUGAAACAGGAUACAACCUCUCACAGAGGGUAAUGCUUAUCAUAAGCGUGAUUAAGUGGGCCUAAAAGCAGCCACCUUUUAAAAAGCGUUAAAGCCUAAUCACACUAAAUUAUAAAUACCCAUCUAAGCCCAAAACCCCUUAACCCCUACUGAAUGACUUCAUACCUUUAUGAAAAUCCUUAUGUUAGAACCAGUAACAAGAAUAAUUAUUCUCCUACAAAUGUAAGUGUAAGCCGAAAUGGAACCCCCAUCGACACUCACCGCCAAUGAGCCAAUAGUAAUAACCCCCCAAGAAAAUCUUACUCCUCCCAGCGUUAACCUUACACAAGAACUUUUCUGGAAAGAUUAAAAAAAGAGGAAGGAACUCGGCAAACAUUAACUCCGCCUG